CUGCACUCUCUCCUUAAUACCUAUGUAUAUUUAGACAAAACCUCCAUAUACAUAGGGAUUAAGGAGAGAGCACAGGU